rnacentral:rRNA from 1 species
CAGAGACUGCAAGCGUUAUUCGGAUUCACUGGGCGUAAAGGGUGCGCAGGCGGCCAUGUGUGUGAGGCGUGAAAGCCCGGGGCUUAACCCCGGAAUUGCACCUCAAACUACAUGGCUAGAGCAUUGGAGAGGGUAGCAGAAUUCAUGGUGUAGCAGUGAAAUGCGUAGAUAUCAUGAGGAAUACCGGAGGCGAAGGCGGCUACCUGGACAAUUGCUGACGCUCAGGCACGAAAGCGUGGGGAGCAAAAGGGAUUAGAUACCCCUGUAGUCCACGCCCUAAACGGUGCACACUAGGUCUUGGCGGAUUCGACCCCCCCAGGGCCCAAGCUAACGCGUUAAGUGUGCCGCCUGAGGACUACGGCCGCAAGGCUA